rnacentral:rRNA from 1 species
GACGAACGCUGGCGGCGUGCCUAAUACAUGCAAGUAGAACGCACAGUUUAUACCGUAGCUUGCUCCACCAUAAACUGUGAGUUGCGAACGGGUGAGUAACGCGUAGGUAACCUGCCUGGUAGCGGGGGAUAACUAUUGGAAACGAUAGCUAAUACCGCAUAAUAUUGAUUAUUGCAUGAUAAUUGAUUGAAAGAUGCUAUUGCAUCACUACCAGAUGGACCUGCGUUGUAUUAGCUAGUAGGUGAGGUAACGGCUCACCUAGGCGACGAUACAUAGCCGACCUGAGAGGGUGAUCGGCCACACUGGGACUGAGACACGGCCCAGACUCCUACGGGAGGCAGCAGUAGGGAAUCUUCGGCAAUGGACGAAAGUCUGACCGAGCAACGCCGCGUGAGGGAAGAAGGUUUUCGGAUCGUAAAGCUCGGUUGUAAGAGAAGAACGGGUGUGAGAGUGGAAAGUUCACACUGUGACGGUAGCUUACCAGAAAGGGACGGCUAACUACGUG